GACGAACGCUUGCGGCGUGCCUAAGAAAUGCAAGUCGAGCGGGGGAGCAAUCCCUAGCGGCGAACGGUCGCGUAACACGUAGGCAACCUGCCCGAAAGACCGGGACAACGGUUCGAAAGAGCCGCUAAUACCGGAUGUGACCGGAGGGAGACAUCUCCUUCCGUUUAAAUCAUUUAUGGCUUUCGGAGGGGCCUGCGGCCUAUCAGCUGGAUGGCGGGGUAACGGCCCACCAUGGCGACGACGGGUAGCUGGUCUGAGAGGAUGGUCAGCCGGACUGGGACUGAGAUACGGCCCAGACUCCUACGGGGGGCAGCAAUUAGGAAUCUUGCGCAAUGGGGGGAACCCUGACGCAGCGACGCCGCGUGGAGGAUGACGGCCUUCGGGUUGUAAACUCCUUUUGACGAGGAAGAAACAAAUGACGGUACUCGUCGAAUAAGCCCCGGCUAACUCCGUGCCAGCAGCCGCGGUAAUACGGAGGGGGCGAGCGUUGUCCGAAGUUACUGGGCGUAAAGCGCGCGUAGGCGGGUCCCUAAGUCUGCUGUAAAGCCCGAGGCUCAACCUCGGAGGGUCGGCGGAUACUGGGG
rnacentral:rRNA from 1 species